AGGUGGUAUCAUGGAGGCUGAUUAGAGGAAUGACCAAUCAGCGUUCCAUGCAUGAACAAUUAUGGCGACAAAGCGAUCAGUGAUACGUUCUGGCGUGUUCUCUGAUAAAUCGAAACCGUCAUCCCUGAAGUUCUACGAGAACUUUCUUGUCAGAUUUCCUGCUCAUUCAAUCAGCAUAGACGAACGUGAAGAGAGAUAUUCAGUGGAGAAAGAAUUUCGACGACUCUUAGAAAGUGGUGCUUCUGGUUUAGUGCUGAAUGAUUUCCUGGCAGUUCACGAAAGGGAAUAUUUUAGGAAACUGGAUAGUCUAAUAUCAAAGAUGUCUGAAAUUGUGCCUCAAAAUAAGGACUGAAUGAAGGAACUGAAUACUAUCAAUCAGCCAAGUCAUCCACUUAUUCGUGCUACAAUUAAGCUAUCUAAUUAAGUGCUACGUGAUGAAAUCGAUGAAGUUAAAACCUGCUCUUGUUUUCAAUUAGAUUUAAAUUGUUAAUCCAAGUUUACCCACUUGCUUUUUAGGCUCUGGAAAAAUAUUUGGCAUCAUCUUUCUAUCUGAAGAUUUUUGAAAUCUGAAUUUGUACAAUCACUAUAGAAUUAAACUCACAAUCUCAAAGUGCCUUAAUUUUGUAAAAGUUUGAAUUAACGAGGACUCAUGCAAAUGUCCGUUUAUAGAUAGAUAAAAUGAUCGAAUCUACACAGGAAAUUUGAAAUAUUUUAUUUAA